ACGUGCGUGCUAAGAUGUUAAAGACCUGGAGAAGGGAAGCUUAACCAUAAGGCCCAGGAAGUAAUGUUUUGAGUGCCUAUGCUACUAAAAUAUAUAGGCAUUGAAAGGAAAUCUCGGGGGUGACGCAAACACUCCGAUGGCCUUGCCUUUUAAAAGCAGGUUGGCUUAUAUCUGUGGUGCCUGAGGACCUGAAUGCAGUCCCUGCAGCUGUGGGAGAGAAGUCUAAGAAUUGUAUUGACUACAUAAAAAUACACAACAACAUUUCAAUGGCCUAUUUAAGACUAUUAGAGUAACAGCUUUUCAAGACGUAGGCAGCUCAUAAUUCCUUCCCCCAAACUGUUUUCACGUUGAGUCAUACAACCAGAACUUGUCAAGGGGAAAAAAUAGCCUGGAAGGAGGGAUUUCUCUUGGAGACUCUUCGAGGUGUCAGAGGCAGACAAAUAAUGAAAGUGUGAGGUGGUCUUGUGGUGAGGGGCCACCAGCCAAGACACCACAUGCUGAACCAGAGACCCUCUGGUCUCUAGAUCCUUUAAGCUCUCAGCCACCAAGGGCCAGGUAGGGCUUGUUACAACAACUUUUAAAGCUUUAUGGCAUUUCAAUACAGUUUUAGCUGUUAGCUCCUAAAAAGUAAAAGCAAAAAUAAAUUAAACACUGGAUGUAUAUGAACCCCACUGUACAGGCAGGAACCUGAAUGGCUUACCUUCUAAUUUCAUAGGUGUAGCCUUGGAACCACUGAGACACACUUUUGUAACUAAAUUUACUGGGACUCAACCUCCACAAGGACCACCCGAAGUUACCAAGUGCUCCCAGCCAGGCAAUGCUCCUCCUAGCCUGAAGUGGAAAGGUGCUAAGAUGUCAGUGUACCAUUGACCUUUGACCCUUGUCAGAGACCUGUCUGCAGUUACCUUUAAUUCUUUGCUACAACUUAAAGGGUAUCACCCAAACUAGGCUAAGACAGCCAUGUUUAAAGCCCAGGGCCAGGAACGCUGCAACAGUACAAUCCGCUGGGCAAUCAGAAGGGCAGGUGCUGCUUCGGUCUGCUGUGGCCUGACCGCCCAGCUGUGUGCCAGCAACUCAGAGUUCAGCACUGUGGUUUCCCCUGUGGGAAAUAUCCAAAAGAUUUCAGCUGGUGAGACCCUCACUUUGUCAAAAUUAAAACCUUUUCAGCUGCACUUUUUCUUCCCCUGCACAAGAUGAAAGAUUAUAAAGCAAAAUGUUAAAAACAUCAAACAAAGAAAGGGCACUUUCAAGGACACUGAAUUAAUAAAGAUGUUAAAAAUGAGGGAAUUUGAUGUCAGGUGAGAGUUUAUAUUUGUUAUGCAUGUUUGUUAAUGCAGCUGGAGUAGUUGGCAGACGUUGGGUAUAGUCGGUAUUCUCAUAUGUAUGUAGUGAUAGUAAAAAUACAGUCACCCCUGACUUCUAAGCCAGGGAGGGCUUUUUUAAAUAUUCGGAUUAUUAAAACCCAUACUGGUUAAAAGUCACAGUUCCCGCUGAAUGAUAUUUUUAAUUUUACAGAAGGGUUUGCUCCCAGGUGUGCUCCAUUCUGCAUCUCAAGAGCUUAAUCGAAUACAUUUCCUAAAUUAAAAUGAUUGAGAUUAGAGAUCGUGCACUGUCUAGAGAUAUAACAUGCAAAGAUACCAUUUCUACCCCUUUGUCACAAAGGACUUAGUUUCACAAGUCUGCCAUUUUCUCUCCUCCCCCUCCCCCCCAUGGAUAAAGAUCACCGUUUUUGGUAGAUUGUUGAUAAUUUCAGGAAGCUAGUUCAUUUGAAUCAGAACUGAUAUUGUGUUAAUCCUCAUAUUCCCCACUUCUAAAAGUUGUUUAAUUAGAAACUGUAAAGUGCUGUGGCCCCAUCCCUGGGACUAAGUGUGGGAGUUGAUGAAGAAGACUAAGGACUUCGCUUCCCAAGAUGCUAUUUAAUGGGAAGGGAGGGCCAAGUGCCCAUCCCUGGGACCCAGUAGAUCAGAGUAUUCCUGCCAGAGUAGUAAUGACCUCACAGCUCAGAACCCGUAAGCAUGCAGACAGACGUGCCGUGUGGAAGAGUAACUGUGACAGCUGUUUUAAAGCUAUAUUGCAAUAGUUAUUGUAAUCUUCUGGCCUGGAGACCCCUUCCAAAUGACUGUGAGAUGAGACACAGUUAGCCCAGACGGGGCGGGCAUCUUAAAUCCAGACUGGAUGUCUGCAGAGCCAGGUGAAGAACUAAGCUGCUUGCAGCUCUGAGGCCCUGCCCUGGGCAGGGGCGGGAAGGCUGUGUAAGCCAUGCUAAGCUCGCUGUUUUCAAAGUCUGACAGCCAAUUCCAGAAAACACUCAAGGCUACCUGAGGGCUCAUACUCCCUCACCCUGCUGCUGCCUCUGAAAUAACACUUGAUAGAACUCCUGUGUAGAAGACGCAAUGCCAAAAUCAAAUGGAACUAAGUACGCAUGAGAACCGAGAGCCCCGAAGAGGACUCCAGGUACUCCCCUCCCUCGGAACUGACUCGACUAAUGAAUGAGGUGACUGUGCCAGGCAGGACUCACCUCACCAAAUGGAUUCUCUGUCCUCUGGCAGUAGAGAAUGUCUAUAUCGUCUUUUUAAAAGGUGAUUUUUAACAUGCUGUCAGGACUGGGUAACUUAUAAGUUAAUAUUAAUAAAAUGAAUUUGUGUCUUGUGUGCACCUC
rnacentral:lncRNA from 1 species